UUGAUGUGUCUAAUUUACUUUUCCAGCAGAAGACAGGAAAACAUUUGAGGAGAUUUGUUAUGAGUUUUCUACAAAACAUUUACACUGAUGCAUCUUUGACUCAGGAAUCCGAAGGUGACGAUUUGGCGUGUGGACUCAGUCACGUGGUCAGAUAGAAAUCGUGCUGAUAUUCAGCAGAUAUUUUUGGUCAAUUCGUCGAAUAUUAUCUCCAACAAAACAUGCGCUAUGCAAUACAUUACAUAACGGUACUGAGCAGAAGAUCUUAUUUAGUUCACCUUGUCAGCUGUAAGUAGAAUUAUAUCAUCUAAAUAAAGAGCUCUAUCCGCUGUAAUUAAGAAUUGUGAUUUAUGAGGUUCCUGGCAGUCAACACGUGAAGAAUAGUCAGAUGAUGAGGACCGCAAGUCUCGCAUAAAUCUAUUUUUGAUGGAGACCCAUACGGACUUUAGUAAAGGCCCUUUUGCACUAAUGAAUGCAAAAUAGUGAUCUUUUAAACAGACAUAUAAACAGUUUUAUUACAAACUGUUGCACAUGGUAGUACAAUUUAUCUGUAAGAUACGAAAUGUAUGUUGUAUAAUUUUGUAUCGUACACUUAUUUAUUUACUCGAUAUUGCCUUUGAAGGUUCAUUUUGUGUUGAUGUCAGUGAUUUAGAUAAAUACGUAGAAUUUU